UGGGGAUAUAACUCAGUGGCAGAGCAAUUGCCUAGCAUGUAGAAGGACCUGGGUUCCAUCCCCAGAACCACAA
rnacentral:tRNA from 1 species